UGACGGUACCCUACUAGAAAGGAGCCGCUAACUUCGUGCCAGAAGCGUCGGUAAUACGGGGGCUCCAAGCGUUAUCCGGUGUUAUUGGGCGUAAAGAGUCGUGUAGGUGGUUGGGUAAGUUAUCUUUCAAAUAUCUUUGCUUAACAAAGAGGAGGGGGAUAAUACUGCUCGACUAGAAUUUUCUCAAGGGAGAUCGGAACUGAGGGAGGAGUAGUGAAAUGCGUUGAUACCCUCGGGAACACCAGUGGCGUAGGCGGAUCUCUGGGAGAAGAUUGACACUGAGACACGAAAGCUAGGGGAGCGAAGCAGAUUAGAGACCUGCGUAGUCCUAGCCGUAAACGCAUGCUUGCUAGCUGCAUGAAUCUACCUUCGGGUGGUAUCGUGUGGCGAAGGUAACCCGUUAAGCAAGCCGCCUGGAAAGUACGGCCGCAAGGCUGAAAUUCAAAGGAAUUGGCGGGGAGGCACACAACCAGUGGAACAUGUGGUUUAAUUCGAGACUAACCGAAGAACCUCACCAGGGUUUGACAUGUAGCUGCACGUCUUAAGAAAUUAAGACUCUCUUGAAGGUGCUACACAGGUGCUGCAUGGCUGUCGUCAGCUCGUUCCGUGAGGAGUGCCCUUAAGUGGGACAACGAGCGCAACCCCUAUUACAUGUUAGAAAUGUCAUGUAAGACUGCCUUGCCAUUUGGCGGGGAGGAAGGAGGGGCAGACGUCAAGUCCGCAUGGUCCUUAUGCCCUGGGCUACACACAUGUUACAAUGAGUACGGCAAUGAGUCUGUCGCGAGCACGUAAGUGUAAGCUAAUCUCUUAAAUGUACUCUCAGUGGGGAUUGAGGUCUGCAACUCGACCUCAUGAACACGGAAUUGGUAGUAAUCGCGGGUCAGCUAUACCGCGGUGAUACGUUCUUGCCUCUUGCACACACCGCCCGUCAAACCAGCAAAGUCGAUUGUAUCCGAACCU
rnacentral:rRNA from 1 species